AGCGAACGCUGGCGGCAGGCCUAACACAUGCAAGUCGGACGCACCUUCGGGUGAGUGGCGGACGGGUGAGUAACACGUGGGAACGUACCUUUUGGUUCGGAAUAACGCAGGGAAACUUGUGCUAAUACCGAAUGUGCCCUUCGGGGGAAAGAUUUAUCGCCAUUAGAGCGGCCCGCGUUAGAUUAGCUAGUUGGUGAGGU
rnacentral:rRNA from 1 species